rnacentral:misc_RNA from 1 species
AAGUCGUAACAAGGUUUCCGUAGGUGAACCUGCGGAAGGAUCAUUAACACAUCCUUUUCAAAUCAAAUCAAACCUCUGCGCACAUGUUCGAAGCUUGCAAAGCGAACGUCAGCAUUUGGCAACGGCGAGAAGCAACUCCAUCGUGGGAAGCUAGGCCUGCUGGCUAUGGAUCUUAGAAUCCAAGUUCGACUCUUCAAGCUAUUACAGCCUCUUGCCGUGGCUGGCCAUUUAAUUACCAACCCUUUUUUUAACUUUGAACUACGUACUGAUUUUGAUUCUUUCGGAUCGAGAGGAGCAAUCCUUUCUCUGAUUGGGUCGCAUUGGAUAAUCGAAUCCAAUUCAAACACAACUCUUAACAGCGGAUAUCUCGGUUCUC